rnacentral:piRNA from 1 species
GCUACUCUUGACAGUGGGAUGACGAU